UCUACCAUUACAUGAUGUAAUUGAAUGGGACUUUUUUUCAUUUGACUUGCUUCUCAUCAGAUCCUAUCUUUUAUUAUUUUCC